rnacentral:rRNA from 1 species
UACGAAGGGGGCUAGCGUUGUUCGGAAUUACUGGGCGUAAAGCGCGCGUAGGCGGACAUUUAAGUCAGGGGUGAAAUCCCAGGGCUCAACCCUGGAACUGCCUUUGAUACUGGAGGUCUGGAGUUCGGGAGAGGUGAGUGGAAUUCCGAGUGUAGAGGUGAAAUUCGUAGAUAUUCGGAGGAACACCAGAAGCGAAGGCGGCUCACUGGCCCGAUACUGACGCUGAGGCGCGAAAGCGUGGGGAGCAAACAGG